UACAGAGGUCCCGAGCGUUGUUCGGAUUCAUUGGGCGUAAAGGGUGCGUAGGUGGCGCCGUAAGUCGGGUGUGAAAUCUCGGAGCUUAACUCCGAAACUGCAUUCGAUACUGCCGUGCUUGAGGACUGGAGAGGAGACUGGAAUUUACGGUGUAGCGGUGAAAUGCGUAGAUAUCGUAAGGAAGACCAGUGGCGAAGGCGGGUCUCUGGACAGUUCCUGACGCUGAGGCACGAAGGUCAGGGGAGCAAACGGG
rnacentral:rRNA from 1 species